rnacentral:tRNA from 6 species
GUGGCUGUAGCUCAGUUGGUAGAGCCCUGGAUUGUGAUUCCAGUUGUCGUCGGUUCGAGCCCGAUCAGCCACCCCA